rnacentral:rRNA from 1 species
GGCAGGCUUAGCGCAUGCAAGUCGACGGGACCUUCGGGGUAGUGCGGACGGGUGAGUAACACGUGGGAACGUGCCUUUAGGUUCGGAAUAGCUCCUGGAACGGGUGGUAAUGCCGAAUGUGCCCUUCGGGGGAAAGAUUUAUCGCCUUUAGAGCGGCCCGCGUCUGAUUAGCUAGUUGGUGAGGUAACGGCUCACCAAGGCGACGAUCAGUAGCUGGUCUGAGAGGAUGACCAGCCACACUGGGACUGAGGCUACGGCCCAGACUCCUACGGGAGGCAGCAGUGGGGAAUCUUGCGCAAUGGGCGAAAGCCUGACGCAGCCAUGCCGAGCGUGAAUGAUGAAGGUCUUAGGAUUGUAAAAUUCUUUCACCGGGGACGAUAAUGACGGUACCGAGAAGAAGCCCCCGGCUAACU